UUCAGUAGGAGGUGGAAACAAUGCCCCAAGAAGACAUUGAGCGGAGUCAAAGUGAGAAGAGUUCGGCAAUCGUGUUGGUUCCUAAACCAGAUGGUACUCAACAAUUUUGUGUAGAUUAUCGGGAGGUCAAUGCCAUGACUAAAUCUGACCCAUAACCAAUUCCAAGGGUGGAGUACUGUGUGGAAAAGGAGGUGGCCAAGAAUUAGCAGCUGAUACUUUUUAUAUGAGACAGCCCUGGACCCUCAGUAGGAUGCAGUAUAUGGUUGGCGCAGAUUUAAAUUAGUUCCUGGUGGCUAUUGGAGAUCUUGAAUUUCAAAUCAAGUCAUGGAGCCAAGGAGUAAUAGAAGUUUUACAUCAUGGAAAAGGUUAUAUAAAACAUUGUGUCUACACUGGUUGUCAAGUAUCCAUCUAUUGUAUUCUAGUCCUGUUUUUAGCACUUGUCCCACAUUCUUGUAAGGUAUGGUGUUUCAAGUGUUCACCUAAAUAGUUCUUGAAUAUCUUGAGGAUUCUCGUCUUUACCAACUUUUUCAGGCAGUGAGUUUCAGAUGGCUACAACUCUCUGCAUGAAAAGGUUUUUCCUCAAAUCUCCUCUACACCUCUUGCUCCUUCCCUUUAAACUGUGCUAUCUGGUUAUUGAACCCCCUACUAAGUGGAAAUUUUCUCCCUCUCUAUCUCAGAACUUUGUACACCUCAAUUAAAUACCCCUGAGCCUUUUUCUGCUCUAAGGAAAAUAAUGCCAACUUAUACAAGUCUCUUUUCAUAGCUGAAUUGCUCCAACUCAGGCAACAUAGUGUGAAUCUCUUCUGCACUCUCUCUAGCACAAUCACAUCCUUCCUAUAGCGAGCGAUCAUCUUUAAAAUGUUGUUAGGCCUCAUUCAAAGAAUAGCAUGAACAUAGAAAACCUUGUUGAUUGGAUAAAUUUAGAAGCAUGAGAGAAUUUUUGAUUUUUGAUGUUAUGAUUUAUGAGUUAUUUUGCUGAAAUCCAUGUGAAGGAUUAUAUUAGUGAUCUGAAAACAACCAGCAUAUGUGAUUGAGUCAACAUGUAGCAUAUAAUCUUUGGUAUUAUAUUUCUUUUGAAUUUAUAUCCUGGCUUUUCAUUUUAUGAUGCAUGAGACUUUCUAAGAGAUCAAUUUAUCUGCAUAACAGCAUGAUCCAUAAGUGGUUAAACUUUUUUGUCAACUAUAUGCUGUGGCCAUUAAAUCCCUGAUUUUAUAUUAAUUGAAGAAUAUCCCUGUAAUGCGUUUGGAAUAUUUAUAAAAUUCAAAUUGAUUAGAGCCAGUAUAAAAUGUUGUCAUACACCCAGCAGAUAUUAUUGCUGGACAAGUCAAAUCCCAGACUAAAACUGACUUGAUAGAUCAUAUUUUGUUCUUCAGUUUUGGUUUAACAAUAAAACAGAAGUGUAUUACUCACAAAAGAAAUUAAGAGAAAAUGGAAUAACCAAACUUAUCUCCUUUAGACACCGAUUUGAGUUCAAAUUCAAAAAUCUAAACUUAAAAAUAAAUGGGACGGUGGCUCAGCACUGCUGCCUUGCAGCAUCAGGGACUCUGCUUCAAUUUCACCCUCAGACGACCAUCUCUGUCGAGUUUUCGCAUUCUCUCGGAAUCUGCUUAAGUCCCCUCUGGGUACUCUGGUUUUCUCUCACAGUGCAAAGGUGUGCAGGUUAGGUGGAUUGGCCAUGCUAAAUUGCCCAUAUUGUCCAAGGAUGUGUAGGCUCGGUUGAUUAGCCUAUGGGGAUAGAGUGGAGUGGGGUCGGACUGGACAGCGUGCUCUCUGGAGAGCUGGUGUGGACUUGAUGGGCUGAAUGGCUCGUUUCCCCACUGUAGGGAUUUUAUACAUAAAUUAGAGAUGGUGGAAACGGCCAAUGCUGGAGAAUCUGAGAUAACAAGUGUA